AGGGGAGGGGAGCCUGCGUUUUGCCCCACAGCCCGCACUGAGGUCUGUGCUUCCGUGGCUAGGCUGUGACUGGUGCUGUAUUUGGACAGCUGGUUUAAAGCUAAAUAAGAUAUAUGUGUGCAAGGCACAGUCAUGCUUCUAGUUUUUAGGGCAGGCAUGAAGAGCCGGUGGAGUGAGCAGAGAAGCCCUCCCUGGCACCCGCGGGGGCUGCGGGUGGGCUGCAGCCCCGGAUCACACGCCUCCGCCUCCCGGGAGCACCGGCUCCUCGUAGACACGGCUGCUGACAAAGUCUACUUCUUGCUUUUUUCCCCAGAACAGGACCAGGCAUUGCUGAGCCGUGGCAACUUCUGAUCUCCCUGCCUGCAAGGUGUGUUUUGACAUGAUGAACAUGCGUAUUCCAGGUGAUUGAGCAGAAAGCAGGGAGUAUUACUCUCAAUACUACAGCAAUAUCUGCGAACUCUGGCCAGGGACACUGUCCUCCUGUGCAAGCAAAGGCCAAGUCAGAGAAAGUCUCUUCCUCAGCAAGCUGGACACUGGAAAUAUUUUAGCCUUUUCUUCAUGGAGGCCUGGUGAUCUGCCAAGUGAUGUAGGAGGUUUUAGCAACGAGACCUGAAUCCAAUGCAGUGCCAUCCAUCCUUCGCUAAGAUCUCAGCUGCACAGCUGCACUUCACCAAUAGUACAAACCUGCUGAACUACUUGAUGUUUCUUCUUCGCCUUACCUGGACUCGAAACUAGAACAGUAACGCUUGCCUCACAGAAGCUCAGUGAGCCUCAGAUCUCCUCGGCAGUACUGGUGCCAGGUUUAAUGAAUGUGCUGCCUUUGGAACGUUUGGCAGAAUUUCAGAGCAACUUCACUAAUUUAAAGAAGAGGAGAACCGGGCACAGAGUUUGUGUUAAGUGUGUCCAGUCUGGAGACACCUAACAGCUGUGUGGGGUACUUAUUUCACAAGGGUCUCCACAUGUCCUGCCAUGGCUUUGAGACUUCAGAAGUUGAAGCCAGAAUGGUCUAUGUGUGAGAGUUUUUCAGCUUGGGCAUGUGAAGUAACUGACACUAGAGAAUACUAUAAAAUUAAUCAUUUUUUUCCAUUCACCAACAGAUCAGAUAUGAAUUCUGUCUCCUUUUUUGAUUGGUCAUUUGAGGGUGGUUUUUCUAGCCACUAAAAUAAGCAGGUGCUUGGUUAUUUAUCUAAUACAUUGUACAUUUUGUCCAUGUAUUAACAAGAAAAGUUCUGUUUUUAUG